AUUUAUGAUAAAUAAUACGCACUUACCAUUAAAACUUGUUGGUGUAAUUGCGCGGCAAUACUUUGCAGAAACUGGACAACCUCACGAUCAAAUAAAAUCAACGAAACACUCCCAGACUCGUCUAUCACCCUCAGUUGGACUUUGAAACUACAUGCAUAUUGUAGGUUGUUGUUAGAAAAAUAUCACAUUAAAUCAUACAUGUCAAGUGCAAAAGUAAAAAUUCUCACCUUAGUCCAACACAAGUUACCAUUAUUCUCUCACAAAAUUCACAAUAGAAUCUAGUUCCAUCAGGAAUCACCUUUUUGCUACACUUUUUGCAAGAAUUAUAGUACCAGCCACGCUCCGUCUCAACACUUAGAACAAUUGUUAGAGUGACACAUACAUAAGGCUGAAAAGAUGAUAUAUAUUUAGUAUUAAGAAUAAGAGAAUAAAAUGUAUUAAAACGAUAAACAUGGAUAAGAUAUUUACACUUGUUUACCUGU
rnacentral:lncRNA from 1 species